CUUAACGCCUUGAGAUGUGUUUGUGACUGCGAGAGGCCUGUGCUAUCACUGCUGGAGUCUAUCACUUGUCUGUUGCCAAAGGGGUCUCUACAGCCUUAUGACGGUGAUAUGGCAUGCAAGAAAGUGUAGCAAGCAUCACUGUAAUUGUUCCCACAGGACUGUGCUAAAGGCGAGAAAAUCCCACAGAUGCACAUCGAUGGAAGGACUCGAGUCAUAGAGAGCAGCAUAUAAGAGAGACGUGGGGGUGAAAAAACACCCAGAAAACACAGUAACCACCCAGCAACUUCCAUAAAACUAUGCCCUAAACCCCUCUGAACACCUCCAGAGCCCCGUAUGCUGAAGAUGAAGGUCAAGUAAUCGUACUCAACCCUCCACAUUCCCUGCUUACAUUUGGAAGAUUGAUUGAUUCUGAGAGGAACAUCAAAUCAACAAUUAAAUCUGAUUUCACUCUCAGCAUAAUGCAUUAAAUGUAAUCUAUUAAAG
rnacentral:lncRNA from 1 species